UACGUAGGUGGCAAGCGUUAUCCGGAUUUACUGGGUGUAAAGGGCGAGUAGGCGGGAUUGCAAGUCAGAUGUGAAAACUAUGGGCUCAACCGAUAGAGUGCAUUUGAAACUGCAGUUCUUGAGUGAUGGAGAGGCAGGCGGAAUUCCCGGUGUAGCGGUGAAAUGCUUAGAUAUCACGAAGAACUCCGAUUGCGAAGGCAGCUCACUGGACUGCAACUGACACUGAGGCUCGAAAGUGUGGGUAUCAAACAGG
rnacentral:rRNA from 1 species